CCCCUACUUCGUCCUUACUGCAAUAACAAUUUAGUUUAGUAUUUUUUGUUUUAAUUUGUUUUCUUUUUUUCUAAAAAGUAAUUUAACCAUUUUUUUAAAUUUAACCUUUUCACCUAAUAUAUUUAAGAUCACAGAAUUAAAAAUAUUUUGAUAGAUUUUAUAUUUUUAAUUUGAACCACAAAAUGAAAGGAGUAUUAAAGAUAAAAUAUAGUGCGC
rnacentral:lncRNA from 1 species